AAUUUAAAAUUUCGGUGGAAAAUGUUCUCAUUUAUUUGACCCUUUUUAAAAGCACGUGGAGAUGCCGUCAAGUGCUUUCGCGUGGAUCCGUUUUUAAUAGCCAACCGGUCAACGUGACCGUUUCCUUGGAGUGUUUGUGCGGUCACAUGACUUUGAGCUUCAUAGCAGUACCGACAGAUUUGUGAAUGGUUUAACGGCGCAAUGUGCUGAUGUGUGUUUUUGUUGACAUACUCCGAUAUUACGGCCUGACUAGAUGAGAUAAGAUCUAUAGCACAUGUGUGUGUUUUCGCCGGGCAAAUUAUCCGGAACACAAUAGUCAGUGAAUCGAUGGUUAACUAUUGUCGAAUGUUUGGAACUGACGGUCGAUUAAUCAUGUCUUGAAGUAAUUUAAGCUCAUCGCUAGUAAUAAGCACUUUUUAGGCUGUGUGAAUGAUUGUGUAUGCGAAUAGAACUCGUCUAUGCUAAAAGUUGCGCGAGCUAAUGAACGUACAUGCUAAUUGAGCUAGUUUUUGCGGUUUCGGUGCAUUGUUUCAGUAGCUUCAGCCCGACAUUUGCCACGUGGACGUUUGCGCCGGGCUCUCCGUGUGAAAUGUCUCAGCGCCGUGGCGUGUUCAAAAUAAAUAAUGUAUCAACGAGUGGCCGUGAAGCGCAGUCGCGUAGCGCCUUGGCGGAGGUCAUUGAAGAGAUGUUGGUGAUAUGGGUCAGGUCGCAAUAUCAAAGCAACACGUGAGAUGUGAUCCUGACCUGUGACAAUUUAAAGGGAGGUCGAGGGGUUCGUGUGGUCACACGUAUGCUAAUGUUAGUGUAGCAUUUUGCUCUGCCUUAACUCUGCAUCGUGUUUUGUUUACUCUUUCUAAUUUUUCUGUUUCCACUGCCUGGUCCAGCAGAUUUGUUAUUUGUCAUUUCCACAUUUUCUGCAAAUCAUAAAAAAAUGAACGCGCAUGCUAAUGCUAGCGUAGCAUUUUGCUCCGCAUACUCCUGUAUGUGUCAACAAUAUACAUUCUGUAACGUUAAUCAUGAUAAACACCAUGAACAGAUUUAAAGCUAACUCGUAAACGGCUUGGCGCUAGUGUCGUUUACAGGAAGUACUUAACAAGUGGGCUACCAAUUACUUUUCAUUGUAGUUCCUCGACGUUGCGGUUUUUCAUGUGUAUGAUGUAUUAAGAAUCGUAAUAGCCGUCAAGUAAAUCAUUUUCAAUUUUUUUUGUUUUUUUUUGUAGGGAAUUGCAGUUAUUUUAUCUGGAAGUUUUCACCCAUGUCCCAUUGAGGUUGUUUUAUUGAUUCUCUUGAAUGCAGAGCUCGCGGCGUUGAAGUUUUUAUAUGAUGAUGACAACUGGACGUGAUGAAACUUGGGCGGAACCUUCCGGCGUAGAUGAGUUGCGCAUUAGCAUCAGUCAGCAGCUGGAGUCAAGUUAAUGCGAAUGCACUCCAAUGCCCUUUUAGUGCCUCUGUAAGGCUUCAGAAAGAAAGCAUUCCGGGUGGGGCUAUGGUCAAUAUUCAGAACUUGCUUUUCGACUUGGACCAAGUGCUCGUUUGCAGUCCUUGCAUGAAGAGAGCAUGCCCUCUUAAAUGUUACACAAGCCCUCCCUCUGACCAUGCAAGGCACAAAUAAGAUUUCUCAGUUAUCACCUUCAGUAAAAUAGGGAUACAGUAGAAGUGUUGCGGCAUUCCUUUGCAUUGCACACUUUUUUUUUUUUAUCUUGAACCUUUGAGAGUAAACAUAGCUAUCUUAGCAGCCACGUCAUACUACAUACAUAAAUGUGACACAGUGGCUUCUGAUACGCUAUGUUACUGACAGCUUUUAUCGUGUUUACUGCUUAUCAAAGCUUGGCAAAUCCAAAAUGUUACAAAACUAGCAGCUACACUAGCGUUGUACAUCACCACAAGGGCUUAUACAGGAUCCAUGCUUGACAUGAGCAGCUAAAUUAGCAUCUAAAUAUUCAUGAAAGCAAGUUUGUAGUCUGAUUAAAGGUCCAUGUUAGGUAGAAACGGCCAAAAAAAACCAGGCUCAUUUAAUUAUUCAUCCAUGCUUGUUACUAGCGGCUCAAGUAGCACAUCUGCUAAUUAACGGAGCUAAAGAUUAUUUAUUGUCAGCAGGAGCUGAAGUGUUGGCUAAAUUGGAAUAAUAUGCUAAUGAUUUUUUUAGAAACAGCUAAAGUAGUGUGCUAAUUAGCAUUUUGGCCGACAGCUAAAAUCGCUUUAUGGCUAACGACUAACGUAGAAAUUAAAAGGCUAAUGGCGCGCAUGUUGCCAAACUACUAAUCUGCGAUGGAUAACGCUCGUUUGACGUAGAUAAACUAGCCUGUUUUUGUACCGCUAAUGUUUUCUUGGUUAAAAAAAAACAGAUCACCAGCUAAAGUCUCGGCUAACGACUUGCAUGCCAGCUAUUUGCCUGCUACAACUCCACGCUCACGAGAUGCAGCUCAUUGAAUAAAUACAUUAGCAUCUAGCUACUCAUGUUUAGAUUAAGUUGAGGCUAAUGACUUGCAUUUCACCUAACCGCGAGUCUGCUACCAUGCUAAUUAAAGUCGAAGCUGAUGAGCAAGUCAGCUAACUAACAGUGUGCUAAGGGUCUAUAGAAAAAGCAGGACGCCUGCAGUGAAAAGCAAAGUCAUUUUCUCACAGUUCCCAGAUGUUCAUCGGACAAGAAAAACAAUUUCCGCAAGACCAAGAACGCAAGGGAAUCCCUAUCUUGCGCAUAAAAUGUUAUUAAGCCGUUCCCCUGGGAUGAAAUCAUCAAAUUGAGCAACGCCAACGGAAACUGUGGUUUUGCUUGCCACGAAUCUGCUUUGUAUUCAGACUUUGAAUGUGUUGUUGGACAUCAGUCAGUACGCAAACAUGCAUUACGUGUCGUCUUCAGUCUUUCACUUUUCUACACAGGGAAAGGCAUUGUUCUCGAAGAACAGCGGUCGCUCUCAUUGUGUCCAUUUGGACUUGUGAAACCGGUCUCCUCACCCACCUACUGCCGUGAUGUUCGCAUUCAGCUCCAGUUAAAUUUAUUCCCAGCCAUCUCAAUGAUGCAGUCAAGAUGUCGCGGUCUUCUUGCAUUCACGAUGCCAGCGAAGUGCUGAAACGUGUCCGGGAAGUAGCCAGUCCGUCAGUUGCGAUUGACUGCGGCAGCUCCGUCUCGUCUCUGCAGAGGAUAAGCACUAUAAAUCUCUUAGGUUGCACAAUGGCUUUGGGAACGUCGCCACUUGACAGCAAAUUUAAACAUUAUAUAUGACACUUUUUAUACUUAUCCGAAAGACUUUUUUGUUUUUUUUUCCAGAUAAAGAUAAUUGCUGGUGAGCAAUUUGUAGUAGUGAGCAUCAUCAGUGUUAACAUCUGAACAGUUGACUAUUAAAAAUAUAAUAUUAUAUAUUUCUAAUAUUUCAAAAUAACAAAUAUGGACAAAGAAUGCACAACUACCAGGGGGAAAAAGAGACAAUAAAUACUGCAACAAAAUUAUUAAUACAUUAUUCGGUUAGUGAUACAACGUGAUUGA